AGGAAGGUGGGAGUGACGUCAAUCAUCAUGCCCCUUAUGACCUGGGCUACACACGUGCUACAAUGGUUGGUACAACGAGUUGCGAGUCGGUGACGGCGAGCUAAUACUCUUAAAGCCAAUCUCAGUUCGGAUUGUAGGCUGCAACUCGCCUACAUGAAGUCGGAAUCGCUAGUAAUCGCGGAUCAGCACGCCGCGGUGAAUACGUUCCCGGGCCUUU
rnacentral:rRNA from 1 species